GACGAACGCUGGCGGCGUGCUUAACACAUGCAAGUCGUACGGUAAGGCCCUUUCGGGGGUACACGAGUGGCGAACGGGUGCGUAACACGUGAGUAACCUUCCCACAACUUUGGGAUAACGCUAGGAAACUGGUGCUAAUACUGGAUAUGUGCUCCUGCUGCAUGGUGGGGGUUGGAAAGCUCCGGCGGUUGUGGAUGGACUCGCGGCCUAUCAGCUUGUUGGUGGGGUAGUGGCCUACCAAGGCGGCGACGGGUAGCCGGCCUGCGAGGGUGACCGGCCACAUUGGGACUGAGAUACGGCCCAGACUCCUACGGGAGGCAGCAGUGGGGAAUAUUGCACAAUGGGCGCAAGCCUGAUGCAGCAACGCCGCGUGCGGGAUGACGGCCUUCGGGUUGAAAACCGCUUUCAGCAGGGACGAAGCUUUUUGUGACGGUACCUGCAGAAGAAGCACCGGCUAACUACGUG
rnacentral:rRNA from 1 species